UGAAAUGGUUUUUCUUCUCCCUGCAGCUAACUAGCCUGAGAUAAUGCCAGUAACUCUGCUCGGUAGUUUUCUUAAGAAGGCCUUAACAUUUUGCUGCUACACUCAUUGGCCUAUACUGGGUUCGAUUAACCCGGAUUACACUCAAUCACACGUACUGGUUGUUGAACCAUCUAAAUUAAGCAUGUUCAGGAUGAUCUGAGGAUGAAGCUAAUCUACAAAAGUAGUUUCAGAGAGUUGAGGAAAUAAUUUCAGUCAAUCAGGCUCCUAUAGGGAGAAGAAAAAACACUUGAAUCCCUGGCAAUCCGUCAGUCACACAUAUGGGAACGAUCAAGCCCGACGCCACAUGCCCACCACAGCAGGAACUCGACAACGCCGCCGCGCUAGACUAGCCGCAGGGCUCGCCGCUCCGGCGUCGAGGACAAUGCAGCCACAGUUCAGAAAUACUGGCACGCAUGUUCUACUCGUACGGCAAGCACGAUUUGAGCCAUACCUGGUCGAGCGCCAGCUCCAUAAACGCAGUAGCCGACAUUGGUUGGGCACGAAGGGCCGUGGGCCGGGCCCUGAGAGCCCAUGUACUUCGUCGUCUUCUGACUGGGCAACAAAGCGGGGAGGGAGCCACCGGGUCUCACCCACCAACGGCGGAGAUGGGUGGUGGUGCCGCGAGGAGGGUUCUCGAGGCGUGGAAGCUCGGAGUGGUCAAGUACGGCGACGCCCUCAGGCUCCAGGAGAGGCUCGUCGCCGACCGGAGAGCCGGCCGGGUCCCGGACCUCGUGCUCUCGCUGCAGCAUCCGCCUACCUACACCCUCGGCAAGCGGCGCACCGACCACAACCUGCUCGUGCCGGAGUCAAGCCUCGCGGGCCUCGGCGCCGAGCUCUACCGCACGGAGCGGGGCGGCGACGUCACCUUCCACGGCCCGCGCCAGGCCGUGCUCUACCCCAUCCUCUCGCUCCGGGACAUUGGGCUAGGCGCGCGGAGGUAUGUCGAGGGGCUCGAGUCCGCCAUGAUCGAGGUUGCCUCUCUGUACGGCGUCAAGGCGCGGCCGGGGGGCGCCUGCGAGACCGGCGUGUGGGUCGGGGACAGGAAGAUUGGGGCCAUCGGGGUCAGGAUCUCGUCAGGGUUUACCUGCCAUGGCCUGGCCUUCAACAUCGACCCUGAUUUGGGCUACUUCAAGCACAUCGUGCCCUGCGGCAUUGCUGACAAGGAGGUCACAUCGCUGCGGCGGGAGGCCGCGGUGGAACUCCCUCCUGACGAGGUGAUCCAUGGUCAGCUCGUGCAGAGCUUGGCGACAACCUUCCGUUUCAGUGAUGUUAAAGUCAAGGAUGAUUCCGAGUGUGCAGACAUGAUUAGCUCAGCUGCAACUGAGCAACACUGAUAUGUAUUUUGCUCUUUGUACUUUUGUAUACUGGGAUUUUGCCUCGACACCUAGUUAUAAACUUUUGGGUUUCAAAAUUUUCCUCUGAUAAUGUUGGUCGUAAAUGAAGGUGCUUCCCAUGCUGUUGGCAAGAGCUAACAUCUGAACCAUCCUAUUAGUGUGGUGUCUUCUUGGUAUUGCUUUA